rnacentral:lncRNA from 1 species
AAAUAAUAUCGAAAAAUCACAAAAUUUAUUUUCUAGCUACUUCAAAUACUCUAGAUCAACUCUAACGGAGCCGAUCAUCGAUUCGAAAGUCCGAACAUCGAAAAUAACUUGGAAGCACACAGAGCGCUCCAUGUUUCCAGAAGCAUACCAAACGCACUAUAUAUAUAGUCCGGCUACUAUUCUAUUAAUAGGAUUGGAGCCAUUGUCCUAUCAAGUUGUUUUGAUUGAUCGGAACUUCAAAUUGAUAAUCGGCACCGUUGAAAUUGAUCUACACAAUUAGAAAUAUUUAGAAACCAAAUUUUGUAAUAUUUAAAAAUCAUUAUCAAGUUCAUCUUAAGAGUUAAAAAAUGAACGGUCAUAAAUGAAUAACCUUCUUAAAAUAGAGGUUAGGCUUUCUCAAUUCAUAAUCAGAGUUAUCAAACAUUAUCUAAAUAGUAUAAAGAAUUUUCUAUCAAAAAUUCAAGCAAUUUGGAUUACUCUACACCGUUAAACAAGCAAACGGCUCAUAUAGGCCGUCAAAAAUUGUCGAUUUUACGACACUUUGAUCACCAUGUAAAUAAUUUUUAAAAUUUAUGAAAUUUAGUUUCUAGAUAUUUCAAAUACUCUAGAUCAACUUCAACGGCUCCGAUCAUCGAUUCGGAAUCUCGAUCAUCAAGAACAAUUUGAUAGGACAAGUGCUCCUAUCCUAUUAAUAGGAUAGUAGCUCUAGCCUCUCUCUCUCUCUCUCUUUCUCUCUCUCUCUAUAUAUAUAUUUAAGCUCCUAUGUUUUUAAAUAUACCAAGUUAUUGGUGUUUGUAGAUUUUUAGCUGUUAGAUUAAGGGAUGUGCGGUUAGGAUGAUGUGGGCCCCCUAGGGUUGAGUGGAUGGUUGGUUAAAUAGUAUAAUCUAACAGUUAAAAAUAAUCCGAGGAGUAGAUCUGACGGUAAAAAAUUUAUAAGCACCAAAUACUUGGUGCUUUUACAAGCACCAUAGCCGGACUAUAUAUAUAUAUAUAUAUAUAUAUAUAUAUAUAUAUAUAUAUAUNUGACUCUAUAUAGAUAUAUAUAUACAUAAGUUGCAAUGGAAAAGGCAACUUAGAAUCUUGUAGUGUGGCUUUAACAUUGCUCAUCAUCUUUACAGCAUUAUUGAUCUGCUCUUUUUCUUCUUUGUUUGUGUCAAAAUUAAACGCCAAUGUUUAUAGCAUAACAUCCACCAUUAGACAUAAUAUCAUCACAUGGUUCAACCAUCUGCAAAUGAUAACACUACACUAUACAUAUGUGCUGUAAAGAGAUAAUAUCCCUCUUAAAUCUUAAUUAAGUAUUAAUAGGUACACUUUUUCUUUAAUAACUCAAUAAUCUAUAAUUAGUGUGGGCUUUUUGUUGACUCUUUUCCCAGCAAUGCCAAUGUUGUCGCUUUAGAAUCUUAUCGAAUUGUGUUGUGUUUUAAUUAAGUGCAUUGUGUGAGUUAUAUAUACUCUGGAAUACUAUCAAUAGCACCAAGCUAUUUAUGCUAUUAGUUUUUUAGCCCUUGGAUUGAAAAAUGUGUUGUCAGAAUGAUAUGGGCCCGCUAGAGUCGAGUGGAUGGUUGGUCGAAUAAUAUAAUCUAACGGAUAAAAAUAAUCAAAAGGUUAAAUCUUAUAGUGGAAAAUUCGAUAGCACCAAAUCUUUUGUGCUAUCUGUAGUAUUCCAGCCGGACUCUCUCUCUCUCUAUAUAUAUAUCUAUUAACUUUAAUGAAUCCACAAUGUUUCUUGCCACGUGGCAAGAAACCCUUCAUUCUUAGGUUAAUUAAUAGAUAUAGAUAAUAAUAAAAUAAUAACCCAUUUGAGCCAAAUCAAUUCUCUAAAUCUUCCUACCGUUUCUCUUUCCAUCUCUCUUACGUUAGAUUUAAAAGUUAUUUUAAUUUUUUAAUUAAUGUGAAUUAAAGUAUCUUCUUUCUACACCUUUUCUUCUCAUCUUUCUUAUUUUUCCCUCUCUACUGAACCGAUGGAAUUAAACAUUAAUCAAGUAAGUUACACAUUCAUAAAUCAUAUUGCUAAUUGAUAAUUUAGAAGAUCAUCCGUUAUCUAAAAUUUAAUUUUGAACUUUAAUUGGGGUGAUGAUUAUGGUUUAUAAUAUUUUACUUUAUUCUUUUUUUGUUUGCUCUGGUAUUGAUUUCAAGUCAAUAGAUCAUUGCUCCAAAUUCUAUGUCCCAUGAAUAAAAACUAAUUUGUGAAAGGAAUAAUAUGUGAGUACUCUGUAAAUUUCAAAUUUUGCAUAAUUUGAAAUUUUUUUAUGAUUUUUUAUUACUUUAUGUGAGUUUUAUAUUUUUUUGAUUAUUCUGGACUCGAUGCGUAUAUUUAAGAUAAUUUAAUGAAGAUGAAUAUAUUUUAUUUUUUUCUUUACUGAUAAUUUAUUAUUUUUAAAUUUUAACUUUAACAGUAUUUAUCUGCUACAAGGCUCGGGUCACUUUAUUCCUGAACCUGUUUAUUUGAUUUGUUAAAUAUUAAUUUAAAUCUCUUCGGUGUGCUCUUUAAUAUUUGUUAUGUUUCACUUGCAAUAUUUCAAAUAUUUUUUUUUAAUAUCUAUACCAUUUUUCUUCUCAUAUAAUUCUUAUAUACUUUCUUUCUUUUCAGUUUCUUUUAUUAUUUUUCGUUGAGUUGUGAUUUCAUUUUAAAUAUUUUUUAAUAUGUUUUUCAUAUUAUUAAGUCUAAUUAAAUAUGGUUAUAUUUUUUUGUUUCUUCUUUACAUUUAUAUUUAUUUAUUUAAUUUAUAAAUUUUUAUUAAAAUAUUUUUUUUCGCUGCAUCGCGCGAGUCACUGCACUAGUAUAUAUUAUUUUUGGAUGUACAGUUAAUAUAUAUAUAUUUUUUUUAAUGUCCUGUCCUUUUCCAGAGUUGAGGAAGGACCAAAAUGUUGCAUUAAUUUCAGGGGGGGGGUGGGGGAAUGACACUUAUAAAUAAUUGUCACCACUGUUGCACCAGUUUUGUCUCACAUUCCUUUGGGUAAUAAUUAUACAGCAUCUGGUUGUUGUUCCCAAUUGGAUUUUGUUCAUCGCGAAUCCACAUCGGAUCUUGUUCGCUCCGUUUCGGUGUUUACUUUCUUUCCUUGGGAGACGAUCUCUCGCAUUUCGAAUGGAGAUUUUAAUUUUGCGGCAACACAUUUGAGCCCCAUAAUUUUUUUUUAAAAAAAAAACUUUAAAUUAAGUUCCUUAUUUGUUUGGUAUCUGUGCGCUUUUUUUUUUCUUUUCUUUUUUUACAUAAAAUUUUGUAUAUAAAAAGAUGUAAGAGUAGGCAGUGAACUAACCAUAUGCAUUUCUUUCAUUCAAAUUAUUAUUUAUUUGGCAAUAAAAAUUAAAAUUUUAUAUUUUUUUUCUUUCAAUUUUUUUUAAAUAAUUUGUUAUUUAUUACUUAGUCGAAUUAACUGUAACAACAAAAAAUUAAAUCUUAUUUUUCAAGAUUUCAAAUUAUAUAGAAUUAGUGUUUACAAAAAUAAAGAAAUAAUAGCGACACCAAACGAGGCCUAAAAUUUUUACCUCCGCCACUGAAAAAUAUGCUACUUAAAAAAGAAUAUCAGCAUAAAAUUUUUUAUCAAUUAAUACCUUUCAUAUAUUAUUUUUUUUGAUAGUAUUACACUCUAUAGUAGAACCAAACAAUAUUAUACAAGUAUAACAACAACCAAAAUAUAUAAUAAGUCAAGCGGAGCUACAUGGCAUAUAUAAAAUUUCAUCGAGCUCUCUUUAGUUUAAAGAAAUACUCCGCGAGCUAAAACUUAUGUGGUUAGGACGUUGGGUGUUGAAUUCGAGCAUUUUAAUUUGAGGUUAUUUAGUUGGAUCGGAUAUAAUUAUGCUAAAAAAAAAUAUUUUGUACUAUCUAGUUUAAAAUUAGUAUUUCUAAUUAGAAAAUUAAAGAAUUGAAUGAACUAAUGCAAUGGACUGGUCACUUCAAUUUGACAGCUUAUAUAUAUAGAUAAGACCACUCAAUCAUAAAGUAGAUGAUAUAUUAAAAUUAUAAAAUAUUUAUCCUAAAAAUUUAAAAUAUUCUAGGCCUGGUAUAAUGGAUCAGUGAGCAACGACCCCAUCAAUAGAAAAAAUGUAAACUAUGUCAAUUACGGUGGUGAUAGGGUGUCUCAAAUCAAUUAUAUUUUGUCUCUAGAAUUCAUUCAUUCCAUCUUGUUUUGGAGAAAAAUAUUUUUGUUAUACUUCACUCUCAAAUAGAGUGAUUUAAUUGAUCGAAAUAUGGAUGGUAUGACGUGACUACAAUAUAGAAAAUUUUUUCUCUUCAGUACGUGCCCCGGCAAAACUUUAGACAUGAUUUUGUAAACCUACUAUUUAGCAAGCUCAUGAUCACAAACAGCCUAAAAAUAAUUUUUUUUCUGUACAAAAUUAUAUUUAUGUGUUAUUUUUAUCAAUUGGUUACAAAAAAAAAAAGCAAACGCGAUUGGCCUAGUCUGAAGGUUUAAGUGCAAGCGUUCAACACCAUACGAACAAUGGAGGUUGGUAUUCGAGACCCAAGUUCGAAUUCUAGUUGAUUCACAUUUCUAGCUAAGUUUAUUUCCAAAUGAAAUAAACGAAGCGGAUAGCGUGCUACCUAUUUCCAAAAAAAAAAAAAAAAAAAAAAAAAAAAAAAAAAAAUGCAAAUAUCUAUUUACAUAUNAUUCACUAAAUGAAACCUUACCUGGUUACGUCUUAAGGUUUAGUCUAAUCUAAUAUUUGCUUAACCUAGUAUGAACAGUAAAGUCUCACAUUACCCUUAGCCUUAUAUUAAGAACUUUUCGUUUAUUGUUAAUAGUUUUAGUCACUUAAGGUAGAGCUAACGUUUCAGAUUUUAUCUACUUGGUUUGUCCCAGAAUUAUAAUAAAAAUAAACGAUACAGUACUUUAGAAAAAAAAGAAAAAGUUCUUGUAACACUUUGAUACUAAAAAAUAGGUAAAGAUGUGGUAUUAAAUAUAAAUAAGAGUAACCGAUGGUAUAUAAUAAGAUAAAGAAGUUACUAUGAUGAUUGAUAAUAUCAAAUGUAGGUAGAAGUGUCAUGACAAUUAUUUAGAUAAAAAAAUUUAUUUUCAAAUGUUAUAUAGUUGAUAUAAUUUCUUUGUUUCACUGGAGAUGUUAGCUAAGUGAAUUAAUUUCAACUGAAGUAUUAAUUAAUAAUGAAACCUAUACUAAAGUUCAACUAAAGUAGUCAAAAAAAAUGCUAAAUACCGUAUAUAUAAAGGGGCGUUUCGUUUCUAAAACAUAUGAAUAAAAAGAUUUGAAAUUUUAUAGAAUAUAAAAAAAAUAUUUUAAAUUUGUGAAUCUCUAUAUAAAAGUUUGAUCAGUUUUGAGUUAUAAAAAAUUAUAUUACCGAUAAAAAAUUGAAAAGCACCGGUUGUUACUGCCAACCAAUCUUACCACUAUAAUACAAGAUAGCAAAAAGUAAUCUUUUAGUUCUAGCAAACUAGAUAGAUUAAUGGAAGGAAUAUCUUAUAAAAAUUACAGAUUAAAAUACUUAUGUUACUUUAAUCGAUCUAUUCCUGUUUUAUUAGAAAAUUCAUUUUAUAACGCAGAAAGCUGAUCAAUUCUUUAUAUAAAUAUUUAAAUUUUUAAAUUUCUUUAUAUAUUAUAUAAAAUAUAUUCAAACCUCAUUCUUAUAUAUACGUUAUAAGAUUGAAAUUCCCUUUUAUUAAACUUAAGAGGGAAAGUUUAUGAAAAAAAAAAAAAAAACAAGAUAAGAGAAGUAGGAAACUCUCUAUUUUGAAUUCGUGAUAAAUCAUGACAACAGAAAUAAAUAAAAAUUUAAAUAAAAAGACUAAUUGUCGAAAAUGAUAAACUCGUCCGAGGAGAAAGGAUAAAACCAUUUACUUUACAGUGUUGUCUUAUCCAGUUAGUCUAAAACAGAUAGACUUGGUUGUCAUCAAGUUAAACAACCUGCUCGUUCAGAUAAUAUGUCGUGUAUGUGGUGUAGUAUAUAUAAGUCAGUUAGUGUAGAGAAUUUUAAUGUUUUUUUUUUUUUUUUUUAGAAAAUAUAUAAUACCACUUUAACCAUUUCAUUUUAUAUUAACCAAUAUCUGUGGUAUAAUCGAUACACUGAUAGUGUAAAAUAUGAAAGAGAACAGCUAAUCUAUAUCCAGAACUUGAUCUUUUUCAACGUCGAUUUCACAUGAAUUUUCACAUAAUGUUACGCAAAAACUUUAACCAUAGGACUACAAGUCACCUCAUUAACUUGAGGAAAAUUUUUGUACUUCUAAAAUAUAAUUGAUUUUACGUCUUUAGGAAACAGAUAUCUAUAAACAAAAAAAAUAAAAAGAAGAGGCAAUAAAUUUUCGAAUAUAAAACAAUAGAAUUUUAAAUCUUAACAUCAUCGUGAAUUGAGACGUGACAAUAUUAAAGCAGUGAUUAAAUAUGUAUAUUAAACAUACUAUGUAUAUUAAACAUACCAUAUCAGCUUUUUAAAGGAUUCUAUCAAUAAUAUAGGAAUUUUUAAUACCUUUACGUGUUUUUAAAAUGUAAAAGAGAAGUUAUUAAAUUGAAAUACUUUCUCUAAAGACUAAUAAAUAAUUAAUUAAAAAAAAUAAUGGUGAAGAUUCUUAAAUUACUCAUAUAAUGACUAACAAGUUAGCAUGGUGUGUUAAAUACGUGUCUUAUUACUGCUUUAAUAUUAUUAUGAUUCAAUUUGUAAAACUCUCACUCGAUCACAAGUACCUUCCCUUUCUCUUUCUUUAUUGCUCUCUCCUUUUUUAAUCAAAAGCUUCUCUCAAUAUCCUAACUGCUUCACUAAUUCCAAGUUUCAUUCCAAUAACAGACCCAGCAAUUGUGGGUGAAUCAUUAUUUCAUUUUUCAUUCUAGUAUAAUCUAAUUUUGGGGGCUCAUGAUUGAAAUUGCAAUGAAAAAUAGAAUUAGAUUUAUUAAAUGAAAAUUAGAAAAGCGAAUCAGCCAAAUAUGUUUGGUUCAAUAUUGGAAUAAAAAUUAGAAUGAAAUAUAGGAUUUCGAGAGAGUGUUUUGAUUAAAAGAGAGGCAAGUAACCAAGGAAGAGGAGGGAAAAAUAUUUGUGAGAGAAGUUUUAAGUGGUUUACUUCCAAAUGGAUCAAAUUUCGAAAUUCAAAAUCGAAUUGAGCGAUAAAUGGAUUGGAUCAACUCUCAUUCCAUAACAGAAUAAAAAUCGAAAUUUAUUUCCUAAUGAACAAGCAAUAAUUAUCGCAAUUAAUAAAUCUUAUUUCGAUUGUAUAGUGUAAAUAGAUGAGCCAUGUAAAUAAUUUCUUAUCUUUCAUUUUUAUUUCAAUCGCUAACGAAAUGGCUUUUUUAAAUUACCCUUUUUUUUUCUUUUUUUUUCUUUUUUUGAGAUGCUUGAGAAUGGAAGGAUCCGUACACAUAGGACUCGGGUUUGUGGGUCCCACUGUCUCACACGGGCGCUCCCUGUGUCGCAGUUGUGCAGUUGUGUGCACUCGUGAACGGUGAAUCCAACGGUGCCAGGUGUGAUGUCACCGUGUACCGCUCGCACAUGGUAUAUCAACUGUGAUGUGCCCCUCCACGAGUUAUUAUUAUUAUUACUAUAUUAUUAUUAUUAUUAUUAUUAUUAUUAUUUUACAAGUAAGCACAAAAAUAUUUAAUUAAAACUUUUCAUCUAACAUGACAACACAAUAAAUAUUUCAUAGGAAAUAAGUUGAACAACAAUUUUUUAAAAAAGCUUGAGAUUUAUAUCCUGCAUUUUUAUUUUAUUUUUUUGGUGUUUGAGCUUGAAAUUCUUUUGAUAGAUUCAAAAUGUGUAUUUGAAUUAGAUAGAGAAAAUAAAAUGUGAUAAAAAAUUCGAUACACGUACUCUGAACUCAACAUUUUUUUAUUUUAUUUUGAUGCAACUUGAAGAUUGGAUGAGACUGUUAUAUAAUUGUACAUAAGUUUAGAGUAAAAAAAUAUAUGAGUUUGAAUUCUACCAAAUAUUCAAUUUUUUAAAAUUUUUAUUUAUCAAAAAAAUAAAUUUAGCAAUAAAUGUAAGGUUGUCGGAUCGUUGGUGCUAACUAUUAAUUCCGAAAAUUUGAGCUGUUAGAAAUACGCAACCAAUUCACUUAAAGCGUGCAAAUACAGCGCCCACGGAUCUCAAUUGUGACUCGGCCCAACCACCCUCACGUCAUUUCGAAUAUGAUUCGAUCCACCCAGCCUCACUCCAUUUCGAAUAUGAUUCGAUCCACCCAACCUCACUCCAUUUCGAACAUGAUUUGGCUCAAUAUGACUUUUCGCCACAGAAAAGCAUGCUGACCCAUUUAAACCAAAACAAAAAGAAGAAGAGAAAUGAAAGAACAAAAAAGAGACACGCAUAUGUGUACAAUUACAUUCACGACGCAAAAACUAUACUCCUCCCAAAGAAACACCAACCACUUGAUUUCUCCUACAAUCUUAGGUAGAUCCGACUAUUUAUUUCAAAAUAUUGCCUGAUUUUUUUUCAGCCAAAUUAUCCAUCAGAUCCCCGCCGACGAAUUCAAGUCCUUCGUUGGAGUCUGGAAAUUUUUUAUUACAUUCAACCUCUUACAGAGAAUCUCGACAUUCCCACCGGCGUUGUCUUUUAUUAUAUAACUGUUAUUUAUUGGCUUCCGCACUGCACACAAAUUCAACAACAAAUAUUUUUAAAACAUCAUUUAAUUCACUGUAAGGUUAAUUUCAAACAGUUCUAUACAAACAAAUCGAAUUAUAUAUAAGUAAAAGCUCGACAUAAACCAGUUUAUGUCCGCUCAGUCUUAGUCGAGCACAAGCUAGCAGAACAAAUAGAAAAGUUUAACCUUUUCACUCGAGUAUUAGUUAAGUAAAGAAUUUACUGCGUUCGGCUUAUGUCUAGUUAAAACUUCACUCGUACUCGGCUGAACGCUUACAGUUUGACUUAGCUGCUAAAAUGUAUAUUUCUACUCUUUUCUUUAGACAGGUUGUUUUCCUCUCUUGACCUUUCGUGGUUGUCUACUACUCAGGUUGCCCGGUUUUUGAAUCGUUUGGUAUAAGCACACCUAAGUCUAAUACUUUUAAUUAUUUUUAAGUAUCUAAAUACCUUAUAGUUUAAGCUGAUCAUCAUUUACGUACUCGUUUUUGUCUGAGUUUAAAAGCCUAGAAUUUUAUCUUGUAGGUUGUAGAAUGACGACCUGAUGGUGAUCAACCAAACAAGAACAACUUUUGGAUAUAUGUAUCUAGUAUCUAGCAUCUAGUAUUGUGUUGAUUGGGACUGUACGUACCGGGGUUGGUCGACUACCGUCCUCUUUAAGUGUUUUGUACACUGGUUAGGUGUAGAACGACACAUGAAGAACGUCUGUACGUGUCGGGUGCGUGCACUCGACUGCAAAGACGUUUCCUUCUACCACUUGUCAGGUUUGUGAAAGUUCGGUAAUUAAUACACGGCCUAGGACGCGUCGCCGCUUAAUUACGUGGACUGGUGACCUUUAGUUUUGGGAAAAAGUAUGCUGCAACAGGAAAAGGAUUAUUAACAUGGUAUAUAAAGCAUGAGAUUUAAUUAAAAUAACAGGAUAUGUCAUGGCAAUUAAUUAUUAUUAAAAUAUUAAUCGAUGAAUAUAUAUUUUAAAAUAUUUAUAUAAAAAUAUUUCAAGUUGAAAAAUUUAAAUAAUGCAUUUUUGAGAUUAUAAAGAUAUAUUAAUAUUAUCAACUUUAAAAACUUUUUUAUAUAAACAUUAACAUUUUUAUAAUAAAAUAAAUAAAAGACAAUUUUUUAUUUAUCAUAAGAUUAAUCGCCUUGUUUAUACUUAUAAGGACUUGAAAAUAUCUUUAUUGGAACAUUUUCAGGGCAUUAUAAAUAANNNNNNNNNNNNNCGGCUUCCAAAUCGACGAUUGGCUCCGUUAGACUUGAUCUAUACUAUUGAAAGUAUUUGAAAACUAAAUUUCAGAUUUUUUCGACAUCAUUUGGCUAGUGAUCAAAAUGUCUCAAAAUUGACAAUUUUAAUGGUGGAUGUAAUGCGUUUGUGUAAAACAAUUUAAAUCUAAUGAAAUUUUUAUAGAAAUUUUUUUUCACUAUUUUGAGUAAGAUCAAUACCUCUAAUCUUAAAUUCAAAUCGUUUAUCAUCAUUUUUUAUGAAAUUUUUAUUUUCAGCCGUUAAUUUUUAGACUACUCGUUUGAUAGGUAAAUUAUGUCAAAAAAUUAUGAACUUUAAUUUUCAAAUGCUUUCAAUGGUAUAGAUCAAGUUUAACGAAGCCGAUAGUCGAUUUGGAAGCUAUAUCAUUGAAAACAACUUGGUAGCACGAAGGGCUCCAUGCUAUCGAUAGUAUACUAGCCUAGUUGUGUAUAUAUAUAUAUAUAUAUAUAUAUAUAUAUAUAUAUAUGAGGCUACUAUACUUCUGAAGCACGGAGCCUGUGCUUCCAGGUCGUUUUUCAUGUUGCGACUUUCGAAUCGUCGAUCGGCUCUAUUAAANNNNNNNNNNNNNNNNNNNNNNNNNNNNNNNNNNNNNNNNNNNNNNNNNNNNNNNNNNNNNNNNNNNNNNNNNNNNNNNNNNNNNNNNNNNNNNNNNNNNNNNNNNNNNNNNNNNNNNNNNNNNNNNNNNNNNNNNNNNNNNNNNNNNNNNNNNNNNNNNNNNNNNNNNNNNNNNNNNNNNNNNNNNNNNNNNNNNNNNNNNNNNNNNNNNNNNNNNNNNNNNNNNNNNNNNNNNNNNNNNNNNNNNNNNNNNNNNNNNNNNNNNNNNNNNNNNNNNNNNNNNNNNNNNNNNNNNNNNNNNNNNNNNNNNNNNNNNNNNNNNNNNNNNNNNNNNNNNNNNNNNNNNNNNNNNNNNNNNNNNNNNNNNNNNNNNNNNNNNNNNNNNNNNNNNNNNNNNNNNNNNNNNNNNNNNNNNNNNNNNNNNNNNNNNNNNNNNNNNNNNNNNNNNNNNNNNNNNNNNNNNNNNNNNNNNNNNNNNNNNNNNNNNNNNNNNNNNNNNNNNNNNNNNNNNNNNNNNNNNNNNNNNNNNNNNNNNNNNNNNNNNNNNNNNNNNNNNNNNNNNNNNNNNNNNNNNNNNNNNNNNNNNNNNNNNNNNNNNNNNNNNNNNNNNNNNNNNNNNNNNNNNNNNNNNNNNNNNNNNNNNNNNNNNNNNNNNNNNNNNNNNNNNNNNNNNNNNNNNNNNNNNNNNNNNNNNNNNNNNNNNNNNNNNNNNNNNNNNNNNNNNNNNNNNNNNNNNNNNNNNNNNNNNNNNNNNNNNNNNNNNNNNNNNNNNNNNNNNNNNNNNNNNNNNCAUGACUUUCUAAAAUUUUGAUACUAAUUAGUAAUACUAAAAGCGAAAGCCAGUAUCAAUAAUAAUAAAUUAAUAAUAUAUAAUGCUAACUAUAGAUAAUAUUAAUAUUUUAUUAAAAUUUACUUUGAGCUUAUUUGAAAUAAUUUUGAGCCGAACACGAGCUGGUUUGAAUUAUUUUUCGAGCCAAUCUUGUGCAGGCCCUAGUUAGCUCAUAUUUAGCUCAGUGAUAGUUCUACGAUAUAUAGGAUAUGGGGCUACAAACAUUGUUAAAAAAGAAAAGAUCAAAAAGAAAAUAAAAAACAGUUGAUGAUAAAAUCAUUUUGUGCAGAGGAAUGCUAGUUGCCGCAAACAGAUCCAACACAGAUAAAAUCUGGUUAAUUACUUUCCUUUUAAAAAGGAAAAAAGAAAUAAAAAAAUUUUAUGUGGUAACAGUAAUUGGUAUAUUUAGAUUCUAAUUUAUGAUUACAUGGUUCGAAGUGUAGUUGUGCACUCGUUAGGAAGAAUAAAUAUUCACAGCGACGGGACCCGAUCCGAAGUAAAUUAUGUUGGAUCUAGACCCAAUUUAAAAUAGAAUCUCCGGAUCCAGUUGGACCCGAUGUUGAACCAAAAACUUCAUAACCAAUUAAAAUUUGUGUAUUCAAAAUACAAAUAUCAUAAUUGUAGAGACACUUUUAUAUAUAUUUCUAAAUUGAACUACUUAAAACUAGAAAAAUAAAAUAAUUUAAAGUUUAUCGUUUCAAAUCAUCAGUGCAAAACCGAGUUGUUGGCCAAAUUUGUCCGAAUUUUAGUGUUCGGAUCGGAUCCGCAUUUUAAUCGGGACAAAGUAAUUUGUUCGGACCUGAUUUUUUUUUCUUUUUUUUUAUGUGAUUAUUUUUCGAUUGGAUCGCAAAGUCGAGUUGUAUUUUGCCACUGCUUUUUUUUUUAUUUUUUUUGUUUUUUUUAAGAAAGGUAGCACGCUAUCUGCUUCAUUUAUUUAGCAGAUAAAUUUAGUUAUAGGGGUUGAGGCAACGCGGCCUGGAAAAAUAUUGAAGGCAACCAAAACAAAAAAAACAAAUAAAAACUAAAAUAAAAAAACUACAAAAAUUGAUACUUAUACUCCUCGCUCAAAACCAAGACAUUAAGAGCUGUAAAACUCAAUCCAUUACUUACGUCUCGUAUUCGUCUAAUAGUCAAAAAGGGGCAAAUGAUUGGCUUCUAAAAAUAAUAUUAUUUUUUUCCCGUCAAAUCGAUUCAUCAACAGAUUACGAUCCUGGUUAGAUCUCUUGCAGCUGCCCCUUGGCGGCGGUCCCCAGCUAGAAGCUCUCAAAUACUCCUGGCCUCCAUCUCAGGCUCUGGAAUGUGCCCACUUUCUAGGAUGUUGUACAUGAAAAAUUUGCUGAUUACGCAUCCAACCAGCAGAUGAUCAACAGUCUCUAAAUCGUUGCCGUAUAUCACGCACUGUUGAUUCUCAUACCAGCCUCUUUUGAGUAAGUUGUCAACAGUAGGUAGGCGUUUCUUAACUGCUAACCAAAUAAAAAAUGCUAACUUUAGAUGAUAUUUUCAACUCCCAAACCUUUAGCAAAAAAAAAAUCUCAAACUCUCCCUUCUCGGAUCAGUACAUAUAUUGACUUAAUGGUGAAAUAUCUUCUGGCGUUCCAUCUUCAUCGCAUUUCCUCACGCCUGUCUAUCACCACUGCUUUGUUGAGUUUGCAAGAGUUUGUUGGCUUGCACAGGGGAAAAAAAACUUAAAUAAUUUAUAUUUAGAUUUUAAGGCCUCUAAAUCUUUGUGUUUUGAAUUCCUCUUACAUGCUGCAGUCCCUGCAAUUUUUUUUUUCCAUUUUAUUAUUCAUUUUAUUUUGGAUAAAUUUCAAGUAUCACUCCUAUAGUUUUGUGCUUUCUCACUUUAUUACUAUGCGCUUUAAAGUAUAUCACUUUAGUAUUCAGUGAUUUUAUUUGUCUCUUUUCGUCAUCACCUCCAUUAACUUUUUAUUAAAUCAUAUGCAAAAUAUUUCAGAUACUCCACCUACGAUUUAUCGAAUAUUCACUUUAAUAUUCUAUAAUUUACCGAAUUUUUACUUUAGUAUUCUGUGGUUUUAAUUUCGUCAUUGAUUUAGCGAAAAAAAUUAAUAGAGAAAAUAAUUUUUAAAAAAAAUCAUAAGAUACGAAAGUGAUAUAUUUUAAAUCACGGGAUAGUAUUUCUUUUAUUUUUCUGAGUUAGGAAAAAACCCCAACAGGCCCAGUUCAGCUGCAGAAAAGGUGACUUAUACCCCAAAUCCAAGGUGAAAAUUAAAAGGGUCUUAUUAAUUGUCUGAAAAUGUUAGAUAGUUGCGUGCCUUGUCCUGUUUCUCUUUAUAAGAUUCCUACGGGUGAUUGAUAUUCGAGAUCCAAGUUUUCUACCUAAGUUUAUUUCUAAAUAAAAAAAAACGAAGCAGAUAGCAUGCUAUCUUUCUCUCUCAAAAAAAAGAAAGAUUCCUACUGGUGAUGUUCAAAAAACCCAUGGAUUACGUGCUGUUCGUGUGUUAAUCUCGGUGCUUUAAAAAUGUGGAAAAGCUUUAGCCACGUCUUGACGUGAUUUGCUAUUUUUAUGUUAUUAUUGUAUAAUUUUAACUGUAUUAUUUAAAUAUUAUAUGAGCACCUUUGUUAUUUUGUCUGUUAAAUUUAUUACGUUUAGUGCACAUGCGUCAUGAAUCGUUACUUUUUUCUUAUAAAAACAAUCCGAAAUAAACUUUUAAGGGGUCUUAUGUUUUUUGUAUGUGUUUUUUAUUAAUUUAUGUGGGAUAUAUUCAACGCAUCUGUAUUAGGCUGCAGGUAAUGAGUUUAACGGAAAAGAUAAUAAAAAAGGUAUUAAAAAACGAAAACAAAUUAAGGAUCUCUUGCGGACCGGAUUUACAGAAAACUUAAAAGAUCAAAUUAAUUUGGUCUCACUAUCGACGACGAAAGUGAAAAAAUUGAUUGAAAUUAAUGACUCUGGCUAAGCCGAAACCCAACAAACAAUCAUAAUGCAACUAGACAAAUUCCCGUGACUUAGCUUCUGGGAAAAGUCCAUGCCUGUGGUUGGUGACAAGUUCCUUUUUGAUAAGAAAAGAGAGGCGAUUUUGAAUUAAAAAAGUUGAUAUUUACAAAAACUAAAACCCUUUGUAGGCCAUGUAGGAUGGACUUUAUCUAGCCACCUCAUCCACUUGAUUCAAACUGCAGUAGUUUUCAGAUGUAAUUGAUGCACAGUUCUUCUUUUCUUUUCUGCCACCCAAUUGUCCAGAUCCAUUCCCAGGGCCUUUCAAAAAUCUCGCUCUUUUGGUAGGUUUUAAUUUCAUUUCCAGUUCCAGGUGAAGCAGUUUUUAUUUGGUGCCAAUUAAGGGGGAGGCACUUUAUGUAUUUGGAAUGUCCAAAUCAGACAAUCUGAAUGCGUCGAUGAAUUUUAUUUUUUUUUUUUUCGCGCACGGAAUUACACUUAAUUUGCACCCGACUUUGGAUUUCUCUCACUAAUUUUUAGGAUCUGUUUGGUAUUUUGGCUCAUCUAAAACUCGGACGAAUAUAUAUAUAUAUAUAUAGUGUGUAAAGUUAUUGUACUUUCAAAAGUAUAAAGAAGAUGGUGGUUCUGACUUUUCUUCUUGAGAGAGAAAAAUAGCAUACUAUUUGCUUCGUUUAUUUUUUUAGAAAUGAAUUUAGUUAAAAAUCUGAAUCAAUAAGGUUUCAAAUUUGGAACUUCGAGUACCAAAUAAUCAAACCUUUCGUCACUUGCGCUAAGGACGGCCAGUUGUUUUUUACUUUUUGGCCCUUAGAUACUAGAAUGAUUGUGCUUCCUCUAGGAUUAAUUUAAUGAAUUUUUUAGGAUUUAGUAGUCUUUCUAGAGGAAUAAAUUAACUUCAAGGACUAGAAAAUGCUAAAAGAGUUAACUCAAAGUUAAAAUAUUAGAAGCAUCAUAACAACAAUGCUUUCAAAAAAAUACCAUAACGGAACUCUAUAUUUAUAAUAUAAAAAAGUAAAAUUAUAUACAAAAAAAAUANACGAACAUCUAGUUUGAAGUCCUUUAAUUUUGAGAUCAAUUCCUACAUUUUUUUGCUCUAGUUAAUUUGAAAUCCUGCUUUAAAUGAACAAAAGAUUUUUCUUUAACUCUUUCUCACCAUUGUGUUUACAACGACUUCUAUCAAAAAUGUUGUUUCUUUAAUUUAAUGAAGUCAUGGCUCGUAAGUAUCGUGUUCACUGUUUUAUAAACUAUCAACCAUUUGUUGUUUCUCUAUUGUUACGUAUAUGUCAGAGCUGUUUAUACACUUCAUAUAUACGAAAGAGGAACGAUUGUAUAGAGCUAAGUCUGUUCCGGUAGAAACCUCUUCCUCUUACCAAUAAGAAAUCGGGCUCCCUAUCCUUCAUGGGCUUGCCGCGCGCUGGUUUAUCCCGUCGACGGAGGCCAAUAACCUUCCGGUGGCCGUGGCUGUUCGGAUAGGACCGGUGGCCGCCUAGGGUUACGGAUCCCCAGUUCUUCCGGGAGCACAAGAUGUUUCCAGCCAGCGGUUUUCCGCAGUUCUGACUGACCCAGUACGUGCUCAUGGCUGAGGAUCUACGGCGGUGGUAGAGGAGGAGGAGGAGAGUACGGUUCGGGUUUCUAUGGUACUCCCAUUCAUGGGGAAGUCAUGUGGUGUGGCAGAGAGGAGAGUACGUACUACCUAUAGUCUCCUAGACAUCUCUAGUUUGAAUAUAUAUUAGAGCUUCUUAACUUCCCAAACCUCGCAAAAGGUUAGUGUAUAGAAUAGGAACUUCAUAACAAGAAAACCUUUGUAUUGUACUCCGUUUAGAAUUCUAUACGCACUUAUAUAUAUAAUAGACCUUAUAUAAAACUACAUGAAUUUUUAUAUAUGUAAACUAUCUAUUCCUCACACUAGUUAGCACCUAUCGUUCUGGAAACGUAUUUGUUUAUUAGAUUGAGGAACCAAUGUUAGUAUCAUCUUUUCAAAGUAUAGAUUAAACAAGGCUGCAGGCUUGUAUCGGAUUCGGAGAAUUGAAAGGUUUCCAUCACCCUAGUGUAGAUCAGGUCGUACUGAAGAUUAUCAGAUUUAGAGUUGGAGAGGACGACUGGUACACUGGACUAAAAACGUUACGUGUACCUAUAUGAUAUAUAUCCCCAAAAUUCUGAUCAAGACUCAGUAAAGAAUACUCCUUAAAUUUCCAUUACGGCAGAGAGUAGAUUGGCUUUGAAACAAAAGACUGAGUCAACCUACUGACCCAGGAUACAGCUCAGGCUGUUUUUCCGGGGAAAGGUGGCCUCUGGCUGGUCCUCUUGUAUGUUUCGAAAUUGUAAGGCGUCGGGGGCCAUAACUUGUUACUUGUAUAGCCUCCCCUUUACUAAUACCUCCUUUCCUUAUAACCGAACAGCCUCACCUCGCUAAUGGUUCAGAACAGCAUGAAGUAGCUGAGGGUUGUUCUUCGCCUCUAACGGAGUACAUCGGAGCCGUACCGAUGUUUAUUAUUGUUGUUACAUUUAGAACUCGGAGUGGUUGACGGCGAUUAGAGUAGCCAGGAGCUGAGCCAAUUUUUCUGUGAAAGGAAGCCUCGUAAUCUACUCGAAUACGAAGCUGAUGGCGGCUCAAUAGUUGGAGACUUGUCGUCGUCAUCGUAAACGCUUGUUGGAAGCAGCGGUAGUCGAAGACCGAGCUAGAGCCAACUAGUUCACAAAGGAGUCAAGUACUACACUCAAGAAUCGAAGUGGUAACAAGUAUUAUACGUUUUAAAUACACAACAUACAUAUCUCUAUAUAUAUAUCCCCUUCUCCUUCAAUUUUGGUUAGUAUAUAUGAACACAUAUCACAUACUAAAAAGUGAUACAUUGGUCAGUAACGUAUCAGAUCCACGUAAGUCUAUACAGCCAUUUUCACUUUUAAAAGUAGUCAAUAACAAGACGUACAUAUACGUUACAUUUACUCUUUUUCAUACCAUUUAUUCCUCUCCUCGGAAAAACCGUUAAGUAGUGGGAUACAAAGAAUAUAGGAUAAUCACUGAUUUAGAACAACAGAGGGUACCAAUCGACGUGUUGUCUAUCCGUACUUGUACGAGACAGCGUUUAUGAUUUAGUAGCAAGCGUUAACCUAUUAGUGUUAGGAAGUAGUGAGUAGUGAAAACGGUAGAGCUAAGGAAUUUAAAAGGAGGGGCAUUAGACGCGGUUCACGCCAUUUUUCAUCUUGUUCGUUUUGAGUACUCUCUAUACGGGUCUUAGAGACCAUAGAAGAAGCAGUAGAUAUGUGUCUAAUGUCACUUCAUGAAAUAAGACAAAACUAAUACUCUAUAGUAUGAGUUCGACAAGUUUGAGUAAGUUAAUAAGUUGGUUGGUUUUAUUUUAACGGCUCUAAAAAUGCUUCUUUUGGAGUCGACCCCUGUUUUAGUGUUUAGUCUUUGCUGGAUGGGUUUAAAAGAGCUGGUAACCAAUUUUUCUUGUUAGUUACGAGAAUAGACUUAUAUUGAAACUCCAUGUGUUGUGUGAAUACUACACGGAUAUAUUAACAAGUGCGUUUUAAUUAGUACAGUUUACCUUUUGAAAAGGGGUAUGUGUAUCUAUUCUAGAGUCCUCUUAUUCAAAGAGAACCCAUUUUUAGUGUUCACAACUAAGCAUCUAUUUAGAAGAAUUACAGUUAAGUUUAGCUCCACCUUAAAUGUUUGAGUAGAUCCAAUAGUUUGUGUUGAGUUUGAGUAUUUGUUAAGGGUUGUGUCCUCUUUAACACUAAUGCUGUAAAGCUAGCACACUCUGUCUCGUUUCGUCAAGGAUUUCUGGCAUUAGUUCUAGACAUUUUAUUACGUAAUAAAUAAUUCGUCACGGAUGUGAUGAGUUAAUGUUAUUCACUUAGAUUGCAAUUUACCCACGUGUUUUAAAAAGAGGGGACCAGAUUUUAACUAGAACAAGACUCUGUGGCGUGCUUGAGCUCAGUUGAGAAAGGUGUGAUACUAAUUUAGUUUUGGGUCUUUUUCCCCCUUUUCUUUUUUUUUAGUUUGGUUUUAUCCUUUGUUAUUGCUUUGUUGUAGACCAAUUAAUUUGAUGUUGUAGACCCUGUAACUUAGAAGUGUUAAGUCUUUUGUUUUUUGCAUCUUGUUUAACCAUUUCCCGUUUUGAUCGACUAGUUGUCCCCUAGACGAGCUACUUCGUCAACUAGUGGGCCUGUCCCUCGAACUAGUCUAGCUGCCGGUCUAAGCGCUCGCGGCGCGUCGUCUACGUCGUCCCCGUCUACGUUGAGUGCCGCGAGGACGUUUAAAUUACGUUAGUAAAUGUUAUUUAAGAUUAAGUAGGAUUUUUUAAUAAUAAUCCUGAUUAUUAAUAAUUAACGUUAUCAAUUGAUCAAAUAUGUAUCUUCCUUUAAAGAUUACGGUCAUCAAACUGUUAAGUCCUAGAGAAUGACAUUAUAGUACACUUUGUUAGCAAUAUGAAAUUUUUUUAUUUUAACAAUUUUUUAUUACAAAUAUAUAAAAAUAUAAAUUGUUCUUACUUAAAGAUCAUUGUCGCUCUCAUGGGCCGUAAAGCCGACCUCUCUAUUAAAUACUACACGCUUCACUAUACCUCCCUCUAAUGACUGGGCUCUUAGGUCUGCUGCCGCGGCUGCUCGCUGUUCCGGUUCCGCUCCUGCCGCUUCCCGUCGGGCUAGUUCUUAGGCUCGCCGGACGUCAGAAGGUAGCUACAAGAAGGAGUUUUAGAGGGAGUUGGAAGACGAGACCAACUGAACCCGACGUAAAACUUAACCAACCAAAGAAAAAUAGGCAACCCUCUCCUGUCUCCUCCCUCCUUGUUCACACUUACCUGCUUCGACGGGGACCCUGCCCUCUCCUCCCUCACCCUCCCACUCCCCAUUUUAGCCAUUUUGUCGCCGCCCGAGCAACCCUCCUUCAAAGGCUUCAAAAAGGGAGAACCUGAGCCAAAGCUCGCGCAGCCCAACCACGCGACACGCACCUUCGGUUGCGACUGGCGUGUUCCCCCAUUUUUGUAUUUAUUAUUAUUUUUAAUUUUUGUUUUUAAGGGUGCACCAGAAACACACAAUUAGACCCUUCUGUAAUAAAAAAGGUAAAAAUGUACAAAACUGACUUAGCCGAACUAUGCCCUAUUUUGAAAGGGCUGAAAUUUUAAUUUUACUAUCCAAUUUUUUAUUUUUUUUUUCAUUUAAAGCAGUCAACGACACUUUGAAUUCAAAAUUUAAACUUUAAUAAAUUUAUAAUUGCUAGAAUAUUAUGAAGUAUACUAAUUAAAUCUAUAAAGAUAAACGACGCAUUUAAAAUUUAAAGUCUAAGUUCGUUGACUAAUUCAAAUCAAAUAAAUUAAAAGGUCGGAAAGUAAAUUUUGUUGACUAAUAAAAACAAAUUUCGUUGACUUCAAAAUUUAAGCUUUAAUAAAUUUAUAGUUACGAAAAUAUUAUGAAGUAUACUAAUUAAAUCUAUAAAAAUAAAUGAUGGAUUCAAAUUUUAAAGUCAAAUUUCGUUGACUAAUUCAAAUCAAAUAAAUUAAAAAGUUGGAAAGUAAAAUUAAAAUUUUAAAAGAUUAGGUAUAUAGUUGAUUCAAAAUGACACAUAGUUCUGAUGAAUUAUCUAUGUUUUUACCUUAAAUAAAAAAAACCAAACCAGCUUAAUCUUUAGGUCCUUCUUUAUUUCUCUAUAAUUUUCAGUUUAUCUUUUUGUAAUUUUCUAUUUCUUUUUAUAGCACUCUCUUAUAUUAUGCUCUUCGCGCCCAUGCGCACACAAAAACGUCAACUAAGUCCUUAUUUUUACUGCAAGAAGCAGAAAUAUUGAAUAUUAUAGUUAAAAAAUAAAUUUUUAUGAAAUAGCUCUAUUUAAAUAGUAUUUUCUACAAAAUGUUAUGUACAAGAAGUGGUCGAACACGUUUUUAGGUUAACAAGGUAGCUACAUUUUCUUGGUGAAAUAAAAGCAAGGGUGCAGCACCAGGGAGUUCCCACGGAUUGAACUUGUAGAUGUCAACAUCGGCGACGAUCGAGGUCGCCGGAGUCACCGCAGAAGCGACCUUCUCCCUCAAGUAAUAUAUGAUAAGCUCUUGGUCCGUCGGGUGGAACCGAAACCCCGGCGGAAGUCGAAAUCCCGGAAACCCAAUUCCAUCCAUGUUGAACUGAAACAAUUAAUCUAGCUACAAGAAUAAGUCCAAGGAUAAAAACUCGGAAUAAGGAUGCGCAGGAUAUAUAUAUAAAAGAAGAAGAGGAGGAUAUAUGUUAUACAAAGAGCUUGUUUUGAAGCUCUCUAUAUAUAGAGAGAGGUUGUUCCAAUGUUCCAUAGAUACCCGCAAUGGAUGCUGCCCAAUGAGAUGUUGACACGUAGUGCAUUUAUUUUCGCAUGUUGGAUAUAUAAUAUGAAAUCUUUUUACUAGACACGGUAAAGAGCACACGUCGAUGAUGCGGCCAUGCAUAAAAAAACAACGUGACAGCUAAUGAUGGAAACGUUAUUAUUGUUACCUAAUUAUUAUUUAAGAAAAAAGUAGUUAUUGCAAAGCUUUGGUCAUAUCAUAAAAGUUAUUUUUAAGCACGUUACUAUAGGGCGAAUGAUCCUAAGAAGAUGAGGUUGUGACCGUUGGUAAAUUCAAAUGGAUCAAGUAACCGAUUGAUAAAUGGGUUUUGGACACAUGGAGGGUUGGAAUUUGGACUCUUAUAGGGGAGGGUCAAGGUUGAGUGGAUGAGAUGAUUAUUAUUAUUAUUCUUAUUAUUCUUAUUAUUAUUAUAUUAUUAUUAUUACGUAACGGAUUUUAACUUGCAUGUAGCACACCAUCUUUUUAUAGAAACAUUCAUGGGGACCAGGUGCGGUAAAAUGUGUAGUAUUUAAUUUAUAUCCUUAUGUAUUGUCACUUGUGCUACAUUAUGACCCAUGCUAUGUAUUUCUAAUUACUAGGACUCUAUUGGGACGAAGAGAAAACAGUUAAGACAAACAUUUUCUCUUAAUUAAUUAGAAAGAAAAGAAACCCAAGUGAAAAAAAAAAGAAAAACUCGCCACUUUUAUGUUCUUUUCUUAAUUUUUUAUCAUCCGCAUCCAAACAGAGCACAUAUAAUUUUUUUUUUUUGAGAAAAAGGAAAAGCGCGGAAGAGGAACAUCCCUAUCGUAGCGAUUAAUACAAAGUCGAUCGAGCGCACACCAUGAGGAGAUAACCGUUAAUUGCGACAGCGAUCUUUUGGUGAAUCUCCUUUGAAUGAGAAUGAAUUAAGAUCCUAUUUGGAUUCUCCACUGCCGGCCUAUUUGUUUAUGUUAGUACGGAAAUUAAUAAUUAAGGGUAAUUUAGAUAUAAUUUAAUGAGGUAAUUAGUUUGAAUAAGGAGACGGGUGGGUAUUUGUCACUUAGUUUUAAAACUCUCUUAAUGAUCGACCAUCCAAUAGAAAGGACUUGAAUUGGAUAUAUAUAUAUAUAUAUAUAUAUAUAUAUAUAUAGGGUCCGGCUUCUAUCCUAUUAAUAGGAUUGGGACCUUUGUCCUAUCAAGUCGAUUUGAAUGAUCGGAACUUCAAAUUGAUAAUCGGCACCGUUGAAAUUGAUCUACACAAUUAGAAAUGUUUAGAAACUAAAUUUUGUAUUAUUUAAAAAUCAUUAUCAAGUGCACCUUAAGAGUUGAAAAAUGAACAGUUAUAAAUGAAUAAUCUUCUUAAAAUAGAGGUUAGACUUUCUCAGUUCGUAAUCAGAGUUAUCAAACAUUAUCUAAAUAGUAUAAAGAAUUUUCUAUCAAAAAUUCAACCAAUUUGGAUUGCUCUACACUGUUAAACAAGCAAACGGCUCAUAUAGGCUCAUAUAGGCCGUCAAAAGUUAUGAAAUUUAGUUUUUAGAUAUUUUAAAUACUCUAGAUCAACUUCAACGGCUCUGAUCAUCGAUUCGGAAUCUCAAUAAUCAAGAACAACUUGAUAGGACAAGUGCUCCUAUCCUAUUAAUAGGAUUGGAGCAUUAGCCUAUAUAUAUAUAUAUAUAUAUAUAUAUAUAUAUAGGCUAAUGCUCCUAUCAAUUUUUAAAUAAUACAAAAUUUGGUUUCUAAACAUUUCUAAUUGUGUAGAUCAACUUCAACGGUGCCGAUUAUCAAUUUAAAGUUUCGAUCAUUCAAAUCGACUUGAUAGGACAAGGAUCCCAAUCCUA